rnacentral:rRNA from 1 species
AGUGAACGCUGGCGGUAGGCCUAACACUUGCAAGUCGAACGGCAGCACAGUAAGAGCUUGCUCUUACGGGUGGCGAGUGGCGGACGGGUGAGGAAUACAUCGGAAUCUACUUUUUCGUGGGGGAUAACGUAGGGAAACUUACGCUAAUACCGCAUACGACCUACGGGUGAAAGCAGGGGAUCUUCGGACCUUGCGCGAUUGAAUGAGCCGAUGUCGGAUUAGCUAGUUGGCGGGGUAAAGGCCCACCAAGGCGACGAUCCGUAGCUGGUCUGAGAGGAUGAUCAGCCACACUGGAACUGAGACACGGUCCAGACUCCUACGGGAGGCAGCAGUGGGGAAUAUUGGACAAUGGGCGCAAGCCUGAUCCAGCCAUACCGCGUGGGUGAAGAAGGCCUGCGGGUUGUAAAGCCCUUUUGUUGGGAAAGAAAAGCAGCAGGUUAAUACCCCGCUGUUCUGACGGUACCCAAAGAAUAAGCACCGGCUAACUUCGU